ACGGUGACUUGCAAGUAACUCACUGCACUUAGGCACUGGACUACCUAAAUUUCUAAUUCAAUGACGGAAGGAUGCUGAGUGUAGUCAAGUACUUGACUUGUCAGUGCGUGUGUCAAGAUGAGAUUGACCACUCCAGUUAAGGAGCUAUGUACAGUCAUAUUUCAAUUUAGCAAAAUCUUGGCCAGAGUAGUCCUAGUGAGGAGUCACAGGACUGUUUGAGUUGAGCAUGACUCGGAUGAUCUAAUCAGGGUUGACAGUUUAACCCUGAGUCGUCCUAUACACAGGGGUCAAAAGGGAUGAAUUAUACAGUAACCAUAUUCAUGUAGGUUCUGAGUAUUGUGAUUGUG
rnacentral:lncRNA from 1 species